GAAGACGAAGGGACCGUGAAGGGCAAGAGACAAAGCCGGUGGAGUUUAUCCCCUUUUAAAGAGCUUUCCAAGAAGUUCCAGGAUGUGACUUCCACUUAUAUCCCACUGAAAAGGUUUAUCUCGUUUCCCAGGGAAAUUGAGUCACCGGCUGGACGGUCAUUGUUUCGAGCCUGUGUUCCUCAGAAGACCGUGAACUUGACAGUUUUAACUUCCUGCCUGUAGGCCCUCAGCACCCUCCCAGACUUUGUUGGGGUUGGGAUAUUGGAGAUUCGGGCGGCGGCACAUCUACUAUGACCAGCGGAGUGUAGAGGAAGGGAAGCUGCUCCGCUUCUGAGC